CCUACGGGAGGCUGCAGUGGGGGAUAUUGCACAAUGGGGGGAACCCUGAUGCAGCGACGCCGCGUGGGUGAAGAAGCGCCUCGGCGCGUAAAGCCCUGUCAGCAGGGAAGAAAAUGACGGUACCUGAAGAAGAAGCCCCGGCUAACUACGUGCCAGCAGCCGCGGUAAUACGUAGGGGGCAAGCGUUAUCCGGAUUUACUGGGUGUAAAGGGGGCGCAGACGGCGGUGCAAGCCAGGAGUGAAAGCCCGGGGGCCAACCCCGGGACUGCUCUUGGAACUGCGUGGCUUGAGUGCAGGAGGGGCAGGCGGAAUUCCGGGUGUAGCGGUGAAAUGCGUAGAUAUCAGGAGGAACACCGGUGGCGAAGGCGGCCUGCUGGACUGCAACUGACGUUGAGGCCCGAAAGCGUGGGGAGCAAACAGGAUUAGAUACCCCUGUAGUC
rnacentral:rRNA from 1 species